AACGAACGCUGGCGGCAGGCCUAACACAUGCAAGUCGAACGCCGUAGCAAUACGGAGUGGCAGACGGGUGAGUAACACGUGGGAACAUACCCUUCGGUUCGGAAUAACUCAGGGAAACUUGAGCUAAUACCGGAUACGUCCGCGAGGAGAAAGAUUCAUCGCCGGAGGAUUGGCCCGCGUCUGAUUAGCUUGUUGGUGAGGUAACGGCUCACCAAGGCGACGAUCAGUAGCNGGUCUGAGAGGAUGAUCAGCCACAUUGGGACUGAGACACGGCCCAAACUCCUACGGGAGGCAGCAGUGGGGAAUAUUGGACAAUGGGCGCAAGCCUGAUCCAGCCGUGCCGCGUGAGUGAUGAAGGCCCUAGGGUUGUAAAGCUCUUUUACCCGGGAAGAUAAUGACUGUACCGGGAGAAUAAGCCCCGCUAACUUCGUGCCAGCAGCCGCUGU
rnacentral:rRNA from 1 species